UGUACACAGCAGGUGAGGGGGUGGAG
rnacentral:piRNA from 1 species